AUUGAACGCUGGCGGAAUGCUUUACACAUGCAAGUCGAACGGCAGCACGGACUUCGGUCUGGUGGCGAGUGGCGAACGGGUGAGUAAUGUAUCGGAACGUGCCCAGUCGAGGGGGAUAACGUCGUGAAAAUUACGCUAAUACCGCAUACGAUCUAUGGAUGAAAGCGGGGGAUCGCACGACCUCGCGCGAUUGGAGCGGCCGAUAGCAGAGUAGGGGCGUGGCGGGGUAAAGGACCACCAAGCCAACGAUCUGCAGCUGGUCUGAGAGGACGGCCAGGCACACUGGAGCUGAGGCACGGUCCAGACUCCGACGCGGAGCAGCAGUGGGGAAUUUUGGACAAUGGGCGAAAGCCUGAUCCAGCCAUUCCGCGGGCAGGAUGAAGGCCCUCGGGUUGUAAACUGCUGAUGGACAGAACGAAAGGGUUUCUACUAAUACUAGGAGCUCAUGACGGUACUGUAAGAAUAAGCACCGGCUAACUACGUGCCAGCAGCCGCAGUAA
rnacentral:rRNA from 1 species